GGGAAACGCAGGAGCUGUUUUUUAAGGAUGAGUUUUUAGCAGUACAGCGUGGAGGAUCAGCAGAGGAAAAUCUCUCCUUUGGCCAUUCUGUUUCACUUUCCGCAAGGGAACUAUUUUCUUCAUCAUCUAUCCCAACUGACAAGUACAAGCACUUUGGGCCCUAACUGAAUGUGAACAUUGUCAAAAGGAAUUGGGCUAACGGGAGGCAUCUGCAGCUCCACCCCCAUUGCAUUCUGGUGGGGGCCAGGUCGGCCGACGUGGCAUAGAGGCUGGUGGGUAGACACCCCCGCACAUGGAUCCUCACAUACUGUAUGCAUCAUGACCAGCCAUAAAAACAGUCACAAUGAAUCAGCUGUGCUGCGGAGAGGCUCCUUGGAACCUUCACAUUCGAUUUCCAUCCGACUGACAUCCGCAGGUUGUAGUCGAAGGCUCGAUUAAACAGGAUCCCUGUGAGGUAAACGGGCAGAGGACAUUGAAGAGCCAUAGAAGAGACAAAAAGAGAACAAAACAGCCUGUUUACUCCUGUUCUGUAUUCUUCUGAAUGUGUAAAUCAUUUUUCCUAAAGGCCUCACUCAGCCAAAGAACGCAAGGGAG